CCUACGGGCGGCAGCAGUGGGGAAUAUUGCGCAAUGGGCGAAAGCCUGACGCAGCGACGCCGCGUGAGGGAUGAAGGUCUUCGGAUCGUUAACCUCUGUCAGCAGGGAAGAACGGUCACUGUGCUAAUCAGCAGUGAAUUGACGGUACCUGCAAAGGAAGCACCGGCUAGCUCCGUGCCAGCAGCCGCGGUAAUACGGAGGGUGCGAGCGUUAAUCGGAAUUACUGGGCGUAAAGCGCUCGUAGGCGGUAGGUCAAGUCAAGGGUGAAAUCCCCGCGCUAAACGUGGGAACUGCCUUUGAAACUGGAAACCUGGAGUGUGUGAGAGGAUAGUGGAAUUCCAGGUGUAGGAGUGAAAUGCGUAGAUAUCUGGAGGAACAUCAGUGGCGAAGGCGACUAUCUGGCACAUAACUGACGCUGAGGAGCGAAAGCGUGGGUAGCAAACAGGAUUAGAUACCCGUGUAGUC
rnacentral:rRNA from 1 species